rnacentral:lncRNA from 1 species
GCGUGUAAUGCCAGCGUAAGUGUGGUUACGACACAUGCAUGCAUGCAUGGCAUGGCUCUUGAUUCGGCCGUUUGUUUUGCUCCGAGUAGAUAGAUUAGGGCUUUGUUUAGUUUCUCAAAAAUUUUGCAAAAUUUUUCAGAUUCUCCGUUACAUCGAAUCUUUAGACGUAUGCAUGAAGUAUUAAAUAUAGAUGAAAAUAAAAACUAAUUACACAGUUUGAUCGAAAUUGACGAGACGAAUCUUUUGAGCCUAAUUAGUCUAUAAUUGGACAAUAAUUGUCAAAUACAAACAAAAGUGCUACUAUUCACAUUUUGCAAAAAUUUUUGGAAGUAAACAAGGCCUAGAUAUUAUAUUGCUGGUCGGUAGUUUAUUAUUACCACCUCACUGACUCACUCUUUCCCUCUGCGUUUUCUUCUACCGUACCUUCUUUUUUUCCUUCUAGCUUUCUUUUUUUUUCCAUUUCAAAUAUGUUUAAAACUUGUAAGGGAGAUUUAAGCCUUGUUUGGUCGGUUGGGAACGUCUCUUAGUCGGACGUUUUUUUCGACAAUUUAUAUAACGUUGAAAUGCAUGGUUCCAUGCUAGAAACCGUCUUGAAUGGUGUUGGGUACCAUAAUAAGGGAUACCCAAAUCAGAGCAACGAAAAACGCGAAGAAACAUACUGAUUACAAUCAUCAGGGCCUCGGACGCAAGUUCCGACUCGCCCGACCCCUCAGGGUCUUGAUCGCAAGUUCCGACUCGCCCGACCCCUUAGGGUCUCGGACGCAAGUUCCGACUCGCCCGACCCCUCAGGGUCUCGAACGUAAGUUCCGACUCGCCCGAACCCUCAGGGUCUCGGACGCAAGUUCCGACUCGCCUGACCCCUCAGGGUCUUGGACGCAAGCUCCGUUUCACCCGAUCCCGUCCAGGCUCGGGCGCCGGACCCCACUCCACCUGGGC